rnacentral:rRNA from 1 species
GAUGAACGCUAGCGGCAGGCUUAACACAUGCAAGUCGAGGGGCAGCGCGGUAGCAAUACUGGCGGCGACCGGCAAACGGGUGCGGAACACGUACAGAACCUACCUUGAUCUGGGGCAUAGCCCGGAGAAAUCCGGAUUAACUCCCCAUAAUAUAAUUGGAUGGCAUCAUUUGGUUAUUAAAAUUUAUUGGAUCGAGAUGGCUGUGCGUCCCAUUAGCUAGUUGGUAGGGUAACGGCCUACCAAGGCGACGAUGGGUAGCUGGUGUGAGAG